rnacentral:ncRNA from 4 species
UACGGAGGGGGCUAGCGUUGUUCGGAAAUACUGGGCGUAAAGCGAACGUAGGCGGCUUGGCAAGUCAGGGGUGAAAUCCCAGUGCUCAACACUGGAACUGCCUUUGAAACUGCCAGGCUUGAAUCCUGGAGAGGCGAGUGGAAUUCCGAGUGUAGAGGUGAAAUUCGUAGAUAUUCGGAAGAACACCAGUGGCGAAGGCGACUCGCUGGACAGGUAUUGACGCUGAGGUUCGAAAGCGUGGGGAGCAAACAGG